AGAGAGAGAGAGAGAGAGAGAGAGAGAGAGAGAGAGAGAGAGAGAGAGAGAUUGCUGAAUAAUGUAUGAAAGAACAAGAGAGUAGAUAAAUAAAUAUAUGUGAGAAGAAAGAUAUUAAUAACAGAGAAAUGAAAACAAAAUUAAAUUGUUUAACUUCCCAGCCACCACCACCACCACCACCAUGUCACCGCCACCAGCUUGAACUGCAGUCAAAGGGAGCGCCAUACAUAUGUUUAAUUUUUGGCAGGGCGAAUACUGGUGAUUUUUUAUUUUUUUUAUUUUUUUGUAUUUUUACCUCACCAGACUAGAAGAUUCUCGCGGCUUCCUGACAACGAGGUUUUCCCUAUCUGCCAAAAUACUAGUUGAUUAUCGACUUAUAGUUCAUUUGCUGAUAUGAUCCUCACUCUAUAUAACUCUCUGUUUCAUCUCCUUUUGAAAUAUUGCAUUCAAGCAUGGUGAUCAGCUCGAAGCAUGAAAACAAAAUCUGAGCCCACCGCACCGCUGCCCACGCCUGUGUGUACACUGUACUGUACAUGCCGCUCUGUGAUGCACAAGAGAGAGCUGUAUCCUGGAGGGAAGGAGGAGGGAUACCCAAUGGGGGGAACCCAAUCCCUGAUAUGUUCGUGGCAGAAACUGGAGAGGGCAGCACCGUCAACGCACAGCUCCAAGCAUGUAAACAAAACCCGAGCCCAUCACAAUGCUGGCCACGCCUGUGUUCGUACAUACAUGCUGCUCUGUGAUGCCUCUCGCCUCUGUUGCUGUGUGGGGCAAGGAAAGCCGUACACUCCCAUGGCCUCAGCUGUAUUUAUUCUUCUGGGAUGCCAGACGGUGAUUGCAGUGGCUCCAAGUCUUGGGAAAACCAUGUGUGGAGCACAAGCAGUCUAUCCACACUGAAAAUUUUGAGCUCAAGCAUACCUGCAGCACAACACAUCUGCUGAACAAUGCAGCUCCAAUUCCUGCAGAUAAAUGAACUUCAGGCACAUACCACAGAGCAUUUCUGUGACUACACAACUGUGUUAUAACUGGUAAUGUUUAAUUUAGUUGUGGUAAAUGUGGUUAAAUGACAUUCAUGAUGAAAUAGUUUUUAAACAACAGAUCCUAAAUAUUGAUUAAUAACAUUCACAACCUUAUUGAAGCCUAUAUACUGUAUGUACUAUAUUACAUUAUAUGAUGAGCUUUCAUUUCAGUAUAUACAUAUUUGCUAGCAGAUACCAUUCAGCAAUCUCAUAAUUCCCACUAUUAUCUAACCCAUUUUCUAAGAACAUAAGAAAAUAAGGGAAUGUGCAAGAAGCCGUCAGGGCUACACAUAGCAGUCCCUGUAUGAAACAUAUCUACCUAUUUCUACCUAUCAUCCCCAUCCAUAAAUCUGUCUAAUCUUCUUUUCAAGCUCUCUGCUGACUCUGCACAAACAACCUAAUUACAGAGCCUACUCCCGUCAUCUACCGUUCUGUUUGAGAACCACUUCCUUCCUCUCUUUUAAUCUAACUUGAUCAAGCUUGAAUUAAAAACAGAGGUGGGAAGAAAUCAUGUGGUUAUUUUUUCUCCAAAAAAUACAUAAAUAAAUAAAAAUAAAUAAUAAUAUGAAUAUAAAUAUGAAUAUCAAUAUAAAUAUGAAUAAAUAGAAUAUAAUAAACCAACUUCUGCCUCCACUACUAACAAAUCCUAUCUUCUUUCACCAUUUGUCCAUACACAAUCAUACAUUUCUUUAUAUACUAAUACUUCACAAUAUGUAUAACUUAAUUUUGUGCAAUUCUUGCUUUCCAGUUACCAAAAUGCUUCUUUUUACAGACUGAAUUGUGGUAAAGUGGCUUACAGCAGGAAAGGAAACACAACUGGCACAUCUGAGUCAAGCGUGUUAACUGAUGUGAUGAGCAAUGUGAACAAGUAUUUUAAGAUGUUUUUGGCAAGGAAAAGAUGUGGUGGGAAUAAUGACUGUAUAUAAGGUUUAUAAUUACUGUUAAUCACUUACUUGAAGAGGACAGUUGUUGUGGGUAUGGGAAAAGUGUAAGAUGACAGAGGUGAGAUAGAAAGAGAAAAGUUGUUAACCUAUUCUGUUACUAACAGAGGUAAUAGCAUUACUCAAGAAAAUAAAUGCAUAUACUAGUAUGCUAAUAAUGACACAAAGUUAUGCUAAUAUAUUCCAUAUUUCCAUAUUUACAGGGACACCAUCCACACCACCCAUGACAGUCCAGCAAUCUGGAAGGAAGACCAGCACAAUACCACAGCAAUUGAUGCAAAGAGCAGCAGAUUUCCUGCCUCCCAGGAUGUUGUAAUUUUUCACUGGACAUCAAUGAUAUGGUUUGAUUAGUGUGACAGUGGAGGACGAGGAGGAAGAGGAGGAGGCAGCUUGCUGUAGCAGUAUAUUAUCACAGUCCUAAAGGGAUUACAGUAAGCACUGCAUUUCUCGUUGAGAAACAUUUUGUUAGCAGGAGCAACAAACUCUGGCAGUCCUGUAAAGGAAGUUACUUUAAGGCAAUAUAUCUCAGGUAAUGAGUAUCAUCAAAGAUUUGUUUAAUUUUUACCAGGUUUCUGAUUCCAUUAUUGGUGGCAAGGAUACUAGUGAACAUGACAAAAGUUUGAAACUUGGAAACCAUGCAUUUUUGUUUGUGAUUAAAGAACUGAGAAAUGGAAAUUUUUUAGGUUAUUCCUUUUAUCUGGGAAAGACUGAUAUUAUGCAGAGUGUGAGAAUGAUGACAUGUUCAUUAGGCUUAAGACAUUGAUACUUAAGUAACUGCACUUUUUUUUUCUUUCUCUGACCAAGAGGGAAUACAAUGUUCUUCUCUUGGAAUCUUGACAUGUUUGCCGUCAAUGGUAAAUGGAUCCAUUUCUCGGAUGAUUCACCGAAGCUUUUGAAGAGACUCGGUAACACUAUUGUGAAGGAGAAAAGUAAAGUACAUACAGGGUAAUGUAAUUAAAUGAUGAACGUUUAAUUUUCAAUGAUCAUCAGCUUAAAAAUAUGAGACUUGCUCCUAACUGGUAAAUUCAACAUGUGUAGGAUUUUCAAGUAAUGAACAGAAUAGACACACAUUCCAUGGUAGGCUUACUGCCACAAGAAGCUGUCCUUAUUGCAGUAUAGGCAUGUAUAUCAGGUGCAUAGAUCCUUUUCAUUAUUGAAAUAGUUUAGUUACUCUUCAUUUUGAUGAUGUUUAUUGCUAAAUCUUGUAAAAUUUGCAAGGAAUGCAAGAACACCAUGGAAACUGUGCCAUUCACACACUGUAACAAGACAGCACUUCAGGUGCUGUGGCACAACUGGUCUUUGUUCAGUUCCCUUACCUUAGUUAUUAAUUAGAUGAACCAUACUUCCUUGACAAGACCACACUUCCUUGACAAGAUUAAGACUUGGAUUACCCACUGACUUCAGUUCCUAACUCUAAAUUUGAAGAUACAGUGAUGGCAUCAGACUACUUCUACCUCAUAAUCUUUUCCAUGUAACUGAUUGUGCCUGAAGAAGAUUUUUGAGCCUCAUGAAUGUCAAAUGACAAGGAUAUUUUGUCAGAUACCAGCCAUCAGUUAGACAGCAGCAGUGAGGCAGAUUAGAUUUAUGAUUUUACGUGGCCUUUUCACUUCCCAAUGAGGAAAAAAAGUGUAUUUUCUUUACCAGUCAUAAGUUUGUGUUGCCUUUGCAUGUGUUUCAACAACUAACCAAAAGCUUUAGUUUAAUGAAACUUCGAGUAUUUUAUAUCCUUAAAUAGGAAAUGGGAAGAAAUAAACAUGAAAAGUUGAAUAGUAAAUUUGCAUACAGUACACAGAUAUGCCCACAAAAUUUCUUUCUAGUUGUUUUUGUUUUUUUCACUGUAUUCUUGCAAAAAUUCUGCUCUUGUCCUACUGUCUCACUGCAUGUCCCAUGUCCAAGCUCAGGAUGCUGUAUUUUAUCCUGCAUAUAAUGUUUCAUCAGGUUUGUGCUCUUUUUUACAGCAUAUGCAAAAAUUAUUUAAAUUCUGCAUGUUUACUUUGUGGUGACAUAAAUGCUUCUCUUCUCUGAAAUUUUCUUUGGCUAGUUACAUGUUAUUAACAAUAUAUCUUUAGCUGCCAUAUGCCCACUGUAUAUCCUUACUUUAGUGUUGUUGUUGUUGUUGUUGUUGUUGUUGUUGUUGUUGUUGUUGUAUGCAGUUCUGAGUUGCCAUGUCAUUUGUUCUGAUAUGGAAGUCUUUGUGUUCUCUGUUAGGUGGUGUAGCCUUGCUAUGUUGACUCUGUUACCUCCUGAUGUACAUUCAAAAAGUCGAUAUGGGUAGAUAUUAAGGAAGGAUCACAGUCAGCAGUACUGGGAGUAGUGUACAGGCCACCAAACAGUACAAGGGAAAUUAACACCUCAGUGUGGCAGGAAAUAAAUAGAGCAGGAAGGUACAGUCUGGUAUGUGUGAUAGGAGAUUUUAAUUUUAGGAAUAUCAACUGGAGCCUGAUGGUGGGUAACAAGGAAUCAGAGGAAUUUCUUAAGGUAACUCAAUAAUUUUUUUAAAACAGGUAGUCGUUGAACCCACAAGGGGGAACAAUAUUAUACUAACAGGGAGAAAGCAGUCAUGCAGAUAGCGGUUGGAAGGCAGCUAGGUAACAGUGACCAUUAGGAAAUUAGGUACAAAUUAAAAUGGGAAGAAACUUUUAGAAGCAAAAACACUAUUAAAAUACCUGACUUUAGGAGAGGAGUUGACUGGCAACAGAUGCAGAGUGAGGUCAGGUCUGGGACAGAGUUGAGAGAGAUAAGGCAGGAUGAGAGAGGUGAGGUGAGGUAUGAGGGUGCAGGACAAGAGGAGGGAAGAUGUGUCCAGAAGGGGCUGAGGAGAGAGAGAGAGAGAGGGUGAGAUAGAUGUGAGUAUGUUGGAGGGUCAGGUCAUACUGAAAUGGGAGAAGUGAGGUUGAGGUGAGUAGAUGAGGGAGUAGAGAGGAUGGAAGGGGCCAAAAUGAGGGAAUUAGGUGAAGUAAAUGUAAAUGAGUUGUAUAAAUAUUUUGUAGACAAACUGCAUAUAGGACAGUUAGCAAACAUCCCGUAUAGAGCAAUAAGAUCACAAAAAAAAUUACCCUAAAUGGAUGACUACUAGGUUCAAACAUUAUACAGGAUGGAAGAGAAGUAUAUAUAAGAGAUUAAGGGAAGGUGAAGAGGUUUCAGGACCACACUGUAAUGAAUUAGUUAUAAGUCAGGAGGUUACCAAGGGCAAUUAUGAAUUAAAGGUAGCCAGCCAGGUGAAGACGGACCCCAGGGGAUUUUAUCAGUAUACAGGACGAAGAAUAAAGAUACUAUAGGUCCACUAGAGGCAGCACAUGGGGUGCUGGUUAGUUCUGGGGAGAAGAUAUUAAAAUUCUGAAUGAGUAUUUUUUGACUGUCUUCACCCAGGAAAACAUGCAGGAUAUGCCAAAUUGUGAACAGAUGUUUAAAGCAAAUGAGAAUGAGAAGCUGAUAGAUAUUUUCAUAACUAAGGAGAUAGUGGAACAGGAGAUAGAUAAGCUAAAAAGUUCAAGACACCAGGACCAGAUGAAAUAUGUGCCAGAGUACUUAAGGAAUGCAGAGGUUAUUAGUGAGCCAUUAGUCUCUGGCUUUAGGAAAUCACUUGAGUCAGGUGAGGUACCAGUAAUGUGGAGGCAGGCUAAUGUAGUACCCAUCUUUAAGAAAGGAGUUAAAACUUUACCAUCUAAUUAUAGACCUGUCAGCUUAACUUCAGUUGUGGGUAAAAUAUUGGAGUCAAUAAUAGCGAGGAACAUAAAGGAGUAUUUAGACAAACAUAACUUGAUAAAUCAGUCACAGCACAGCUUCAUGAAGGAGAAGUCUUGCCCGACGAACUUGUUAAGUUUUUACAGUAAAGUGUACAAGGCAGUAGAUAAUGGUGAUAGUUACGACAGCUUAUAUCUGAACUUUAGUAAAGCUUUUGACAAGGUACCCCACCAGAGGCUCCUAAGAAAGGUUAGGGCACACAGGAUAGAUAGGAAGGUGUUAGGCUGGAUAAGGUCAUGGCUAAGCGACAGGUGACAAAGAGUUGUAAUAAAUGGCUCUAUAUCCAAGUGAGGUCAUGUAAUUAGUGGGAUGCCACAGGGAUCAGUAUUAGGGCCACUGUUGUUAAUAUAUAUCAAUGAUUUGGAUAGUGGAAUUAGUAGUGAUCUUAGUAAAUUUGCAGGCAAAGAUUGGUAGAUUAAUUAUGUCAGAAUCAGAUGCCAUCUACUUGCAGGCAGAUUUAGAUAGGAUGAAUGAAUGGAUGGACAGAUGGCAAAUGCAGUUUAUUAACAAAUACAAAGUACUUAGCAUAGGUAGAGGAAACCUACACAGUAGGUACACAACGAAACUCUGGUAGGUUCAGGGUACGAAAAAUAUUUAGGAGUUAUAGUUAGCUCUGAAUUCCAUCUAGGAAAGCAAUGCAGAGGCCAGAAACAGGGAAAAUAGAAUAUUUGGAUUAAUUUUUAGAAGUGUUAAAAGUAGAAAGCCUGAAGUUAUUAAAUUAAAGUUAUAUUUGGUGCUGGUCAAACCUCAUCUAGACUACACUGUGCAGUUCUGGUCCCCACAUUACAGGAAAGAUAUAGGUCUAUUAGAAUCAGUACAGAGGAGAAUGACUAAAAGGAUACAGGGGACGAAGAGUAUUCCUUACGAUGCAAGAUUAAAGUUGUUAAAUUUACAUUCUUUUAGAGAGACAUGGGUUAAGAGGGGACCUGAUAGAAGUCUUUAAGUGGUAUAAGGGUUAUAACAAGGGGGAUGUAAGCAAAAUUCUUAGGAUCAGCAACCAGGAUAGAACAAGAAAUAAUGGGUUCAAGCUUCAAAAAUUUUGGUUUAAGAAAGAGAUAGGAAGAAAUUGGUUCCCAAAUAGAGUGGUAAAUGAGUGGAAAAGACUCAGUAAUCAUGUUGUUAGUGCUAAGACAUAAGGGAGCUUUAAGAGAAGAUUAGACAGGUUUAUGGAUGAGGAUGAUAGGUGGAAAUAGGUACAUUUCAUACAGGGACUGCCACGUGUAAGCCUGAUCACUUCUUGCAGCUUCCCUUAUUUCUUAUGUUCUUAAUAUUGCAAUGUCUCUUGGUGUUGCUGUAUAUUAUAUAUGUAUGCUAUAGGAGAGUGAUGACUUUUGUGUGAUCUCUUAAUGCAACUAACCAUGUGUUCUGUCUUGUAAGGCAUUAGUGUUUGAUAAACACCUUGAUGUUGCCAAAUGUCUGUGCAGGUGUGGAAAAAAAAAAAUGCCUCUUAUGAAUGCUGCUGUCUUUCAUAGUAACACCUUGGUUUUAUUUUCUGCCCUGUGUUACACAUCUAGUGUGUCUUGUACUGUUUUUCAUGCUUUAUACGCAGCACAUACUUGCUAAAAUUUCAGAAUACCUGCUGUUAUACUACUAAUAUAAAUAAAACAUUAAUAGUAUAUCCUCAAGUUAUUUGUUAUUCACCUAUUACAACUACUAAAAAUAAAAAUACAUUUAUUUUUGAGAGCAUUCACAUGUGGCCUACAGUACCUGGCAGCUGUCAAUCAAUAUCUUGAUCUGAAAGGUUCUGGAUAAAAGAAUUUAAUACAUUCUGUUCAUCAUUAUAAAUUAUGCUUAAAGUUGGGGCUUGAAUUUUCGAUGUUUGGACGUAAAUAACACGAAGUUAACUACUUAAGGAAGAAAUACGUAAUAAAAAAGAGAAUAAGAUGUGUUACAAAAAUAAAAGCUGCAACACAAGGAACUAUCAGCAGCUUCAUCUCGUCACGCAGUAUUCUGUACGUGAGGCGCACUGAGCCACGAUCAUUCCAAUUUGAAAAUCUUGUUCUUUGCACCAAACGGAAUAUAUGCACUACAUUUACUCGUACUCUAACACACACACAAACACACACACACACACACACACACACGUGCCCACAACCCAGCCGACAGGGAGGGCGCAUCAGGAAGGCAUGGGUGGUGGGGGUGCCUGGCCAUAAAUACGUGUUUUAUCCUCCAUGAACUGUGUGGAGCCCCGGCUCAUCAUCACUAUUAUCUGUGACUGCACCCUCACUGUGGCCAUUCAUUCAAACGCAGUCCAUCAGUUCCCUAAUUUUCAGUCAUGGUAGUAGUAUCGCCAUGAAAGCUUCACUGAUCAUCACAAGUCACAUUCCACGUUUCCAUCAUGCAUAUCAACCCUCGGAAACUACGAUAUGGGAUAUGAAACUUUGUGGCCUGGUCAUACAGUACUCAAGACCGCGAGAGGCUGCCGCCAUGACAGCCUGACCCUCCCGCCGCAUCCCAUGAUUCCACAGCACAGCACACUGCACACGUCACUGCCUCGUCCUCACCCUGGCCAGGAGUGC